UACGAAGGGUGCAAGCGUUAAUCGGAAUCACUGGGCGUAAAGCGUGCGUAGGCGGUUGAUUAAGUCUGCUGUGAAAGCCCUGGGCUCAACCUGGGAACUGCAGUGGAUACUGGUCAGCUAGAGUGUGAUAGAGGAUGGUGGAAUUCCCGGUGUAGCGGUGAAAUGCGUAGAGAUCGGGAGGAACACCAGUGGCGAAGGCGGCCAUCUGGAUCAACACUGACGCUGAGGCACGAAAGCGUGGGGAGCAAACAGG
rnacentral:rRNA from 1 species